rnacentral:snRNA from 1 species
AUCACUUGUAGGGCUUUUUGCUAAGAUCAAAUGUAGUGUCUCUUCUUAUUAGUUUAAUAUCUGAUAUGUCCUCUAUCCAAGGGUAAUAUACUAAAUGGAUUUUGGGAUCAGGGAGAUAGAAUAGGAGCUUGCUCUUUCCACUCCAUGCAUCAACUUGGUAUUGCAAUACCUUCAGAAAUGCUAUACUUAAA